rnacentral:rRNA from 1 species
GAGUUUGAUUCUGGCUCAGGACGAACGCUGGCGGCGUGCCUAAUACAUGCAAGUGGAACGCAUUGAUUUCACCGGAGCUUGCUCCACCGAAAUUAGUGAGUCGCGAACGGGUGAGUAACGCGUAGGUAACCUACCUCUUAGCGGGGGAUAACUAUUGGAAACGAUAGCUAAUACCGCAUAACAAUAGGAUACACAUGUACCCUAUUUAAAAGGAGCAACUGCUUCACUAAGAGAUGGACCUGCGUUGUAUUAGCUAGUUGGUAGGGUAACGGCCUACCAAGGCAUCGAUACAUAGCCGACCUGAGAGGGUGAUCGGCCACACUGGGACUGAGACACGGCCCAGACUCCUACGGGAGGCAGCAGUAGGGAAUCUUCGGCAAUGGGGGGAACCCUGACCGAGCAACGCCGCGUGAGUGAAGAAGGUUUUCGGAUNGUAAAGCUCUGUUGUAAGAGAAGAACCGUGUGAGAGAGUGGAAAGUUCUCNNCAGUGACGUACUACCGAAGGA